UGGGGAAUAUUGGACAAUGGGGGCAACCCUGAUCCAGCAAUGCCGCGUGUGUGAAGAAGGUCUUCGGAUUGUAAAGCACUUUCGACGGGGACGAUGAUGACGGUACCCGUAGAAGAAGCCCCGGCUAACUUCGUGCCAGCAGCCGCGGUAAUACGAAGGGGGCUAGCGUUGCUCGGAAUGACUGGGCGUAAAGGGCGUGUAGGCGGUUUACACAGUCAGAUGUGAAAUCCCCGGGCUUAACCUGGGAGCUGCAUUUGAUACGUGUAGACUAGAGUGUGAGAGAGGGUUGUGGAAUUCCCAGUGUAGAGGUGAAAUUCGUAGAUAUUGGGAAGAACACCGGUGGCGAAGGCGGCAACCUGGCUCAUGACUGACGCUGAGGCGCGAAAGCGUGGGGAGCAAACAGGAUUAGGAUACCCUGGUAGUCCACGCUGUAAACGAUGUGUGCUAGAUGUUGGGUACUUUGU
rnacentral:rRNA from 1 species